GCCGUCUAGCCUAGCACUGCUCAGUAAGGUCCAGUGGAGACCCUGCGUGAGACCUCCAGUGCGUGGGCCAGGAGCCCCGCGCGAGGCCUGCCCUUGCCGGAGAAGGACGUGUUUGCACCUGAAGCAGGAAGGAAAGGGCACGGAAGAGCUAAGCAGAGAGGCAGCACCUCCUGCAGACCAGAGGCACAGGGAGCCCUCCAGGGUGACUCAGUGAGGGGGCGUUGCACCCUCCUGCCUGAGCUACAGGACCCUGGUCACCAGGUGUCUGUGGCCUUCACCAGUGUUUUAGAGGACAGUGUGGUAAAGGAGGGUUGUGCCCAGUCACCACCGAAGCCGCCGCGCGCCUGUCAUCUCCGUUCGUUCCUUAGCUGCCUGGCCUGCGAGCACUUGUGUUUGUAAAGGGUUUUCCUGAAGAAACAUCUUACAGAUUCAUCUCUUUUCUUAAGAUAUGAAUAUUUACAAGUUGGAGUUGUCUGCCUUCCCCCAAGAUACAGAAUGAUAGCUUCCUGUGAAGUUUUAGAACAGUUGUACAAGACAGUACUUCUUGGAGCCACGCUCGAGAGUGACAGCCAUGAUUACGUCUGUCAUCUCACCCCAGCAGUGUCAGGUCAAGGCGGCCCCAGCACCACCUCCGCAGAGUGGUCGGACGCCCGUGGUGACCAGGACAGGCGUCAGCCAUCCUCCGUCAGGCUGGCUCCUGUCCCCACAGCACCUGUGUGUUGGACGACAAGCUCACAGAGGAGCAGUGCCCGAGAGACAGUGCUCCUUCAGUUAACAGUGAUCCAAGUGAUGCUAGCCAGGGUGUUUUCCAUCAGCAUGGAGAGCCGCUCGAAGGAGAAGUACAGAGAUGUAAUCAAAACUCUCUUACAGUCAGCUGAAGUCGAUUCAAAGUUGAUCUGUAUGUUCCAAAACUCGGAUAAAUUGUUAUCCCACAUGGCCGCAAAGUGUCUUGCGUUGCUUCUGUAUUUCCAAUUGAGAGAAAAGAUACCAUUAAGUGAUUCUUGGAUUGCUUUUUGCCAAAAACAUCUUUCUGAAUACCCGGAGAGUGAUAAAGCAGUAUACUGCCUCUAUACCCUUACAGUUGUAAUAAAAGAAAUCUUGAAAGAUACAAGCUCACAAAAAACAGAAAUUAUAAAGCAGCUCCUGACCCCUUUGGACACGACUUUUGAAGUAUUCUGUAAUUCUGUAUUGUCUCAGCAUUUUGAACGCUGCCAGGAUACUUCUAAAAUAACAAACGGCUUGAUGAGCUUCCUGGGAUUGCUGGAGCUCCUCACCGCCUCCGGAGUCCACCUGAAGCCACGUUUCGCCUGCCAGAGGGCCGUGUUUCUGAAGCCCUCUCGCAUGCUGGGUGUCCUUACCUGGCCAGUCCCGGCUUUUGUCAAGAGGCAGCUCAUCCUACUCAUCAAGAGAUGCCUUCUCUGUAAAGUGGGUGAAGACCUGUGCCGGGGACCCGUGCCCGCUUUCUCGCCGCCGGACCACCCUGCCGACGCCGACACAUUGGCCCUAGCUGAUGCUGUUUUGCGGGCGGUGGAUCUGGGGUUGUUGAAGAAGUUGUCUGCUCAUGGAAAACCGUCCUGCUUUGGAGGUGACAAGGUUCAGCCCCGAGGUGAACGGAUCUGCGUUCCAGAUUACGUGAUCCUCAGAGCAGUGAGCUUGGUUCUAAUGAAAUCCCUGGAAAUCAAGUUUCAAAAUUGUACUUCAGCAAAUGAAAUGAAAGCGGCUCUGCGGAGGUUCAUGUCUGAGCUCCUGGCGUUCCUGAGGCCUCACCUGCCCUCGCUGCACGGCCCCUGUGAGUGGCUGCCGAGAGUCUUCAUAGAGCAAGAUGAUGACAUGCUGGAGGCUGCCAAGGCGUCACUGGGGAUCUACGUAAAGCUGACCAGAGAACAUGAAGCCGCUGAACACCUGGGCCCAGGGGAAACGUGGGAUCGUCACGUGCAUGAGAGCGGCUGCAAUCCACACUGCAUUUUUUUGUUCUUCUUAAAGAACGUGGGAUUUGAUUCUUCAGUUCUUCUUGACUUUCUGAUUUCAUCAGAAACUUGUUUUCUUGAAUAUUUUGUCAGGUAUCUAAAACUACUGCAAAAAGAGUGGGAUAAUUUCGUCACCAUUUGCAAGUCCUUUGACGGAGCUGCACCUGAACGCGCCAUAAAUUCCUGUGGUCGCGUCCCCUCACUUGCCCAAGGCACAAGCUGCAGCCAGGCAGCACCCCCCCAAGUGACUGCUCUUAAUAGUCACGCCAGGCCUUGCGCGUGGCUCUCCAGGGCUUCUGAUGCAUUUUGCGAACCCCUGAGCCAGGCCGUGACCCCCACGGAGACCCGCACCAUGCAGGCUCAUCGGCCGUCUUCCCCACAGGUUGCGCCAGGUCUGGUAGAUUAUGACAGCUCUGAUGAUUCUGAAGUGGAGUGCACAGGCCAGAGCGUAGCCAACAGCCAGCAAACAUCUUUACACCAAGUGACAGUUCAGGUGGUCCAGGACUCGGCUGGCACAAGUGCAGGUCGAGAGCUGAGCCGAGAGACGCAGGCAAGGCCCCUGGUUCCACAGGGAUCCGAUGCUUCCUUCUCUGCUGAUUGUGAGGCGCCCCCCAGAGAUACUGCCUCUGAAGCAGGACUGUUUCACAGAACAGUAAAAUGCUUCAGGGAGCUGCAGGGCGCCAUUUACCGUUUGCAAAAGAAAAAUCUUUUCCCAUAUAAUCCAACUGCACUUCUGAGGUUGUUAAAACAUGUAGAGGCAAUGUAUAAUAAAAGUAUGGUCCCUUUGUAAAACAGUGGCAUUUUAUCUCCAGGAAUUGUUUUUCCUUAAUAGUAUAAAUGGUGCUUCAAUGAGAUAAGUACGUUCUUAAAAAACUCUCUUGGGGCAAGUGCCGUGGGAUGCCCACAUCCCAUAGGAGUGCUGGUUCUGAUCUGACCUGCUCCGCUUCCAGUCCAACUUUCUGCAUUAGGAUCUGGGAGAGCAGCACACAGUGGCCCGAGGACUUGGGUCCCUGCUCCCCAUGUGGGAGACCUAGAUGGAAUUCUGGGUUCCUGGCUUCAGUGUAGCCCAGACCCAGCAUUUGUGGGCCUUUGGGGAGUGAACCCGUGAGUAGAUUCUCUCUCUCUCUCUCUCUCUCUCUUUCUCUAUCUCCAUGUCUUUCCACCUCUCGCCUUCCCUCCCUCCUUUUCUGUCUGCCUUUCAAAUAAAACUAUAAAUAUUUUUUCAGUAAAAUAUAUUUUAAAAAUAAAUCAAUAACCACACAGGAUUUUCUCAAUAGAGUUCUUUUUUCUUAAUUGGAAGCAGCCUAAUGACUGGAAAACAAAUGAAAUGACAUCACCUUAUAUAGUUGUCCAUCACUGGGAGUGACAGCUGCUGUGGUAGUUCAGACUUGUACAGCAUUUGGGUGGUCACUGUAUUAGUUUCCUAGGGUUGCCAUAAAAAAUUAACACGUAUUGGCUGGCAUAAGACAACUUAAAUUUCUUCUCUCACACUUCUGGAGGCUGGAAGUCCAGGACCAAGGUGAGAGCAGGGUCACACCUCUCCAGCCUGUGGAGAAGAAUCCUUGCCUGACUCCUCCUGAUUUGUGGUGCUUGACAGCAGUCCCUAAUGUUCCUUGGCUUGUGGCUGCGUUGCUCCAGUCUCUGCCCCAUGCGGCAUUUCCCUUGCGCACAUGUCUUUAUCCAGUGCUCCCCCUCUAGGGACCCUAAUAAAAAAAAGUGGAGCAGCAGGGGCAUGAACUGGCACCCAUAUGUGAUGCUGGUAUCAUAGGUGGAAGCUCUAGCUGCCACACCACAACGCCGGCCCCAAUGUUCCUGUUUAAAUUGUGGUAUGGGGGUGGGUGUUUGGCACAGCAGUUAGGAUACUACUUGGGAUGCCCUUAUCCCAUAUCAGGGCACCUGCUAGUCCUGGGUCAACUUCCAACUCCAACUUCCUGGUGGUGUACACCUUGGGAGGUAGCAGGUGGUAGCUCAAGUGAUUGGGUUCCUGCCUGACCCACAUGAGAGACCUGAAUUGAGUUCUGAGCUCCAGGCUUGGGCCUGGCCCAGCCCUGGCUGUUGCAAACGUUUGACGGGGUGAACCAGUGGAUGGAGGGUCUGUCUCUGUUUCGCUGCCUUUCACACUAAUUAAUUAAAAAGUAAGCUGUGGUGUAAUUACUCCUUCUGCUCUCCUGCCUUCAAGAGGGACUCUUGGAGCCAGCCUUAAAACAGCCGAGCCUCUCGUGGAAAGGUCACAUGCCCUUUCUCAGUGAAAGGGGAUCCUUGCAACGCGUGGGAACGCCGUGUAAGUAGCUGUGUUGCUGUUUUGUUUAGGGAAUGAUGACGAGGAAAAAAAGUCUGUACGUAUUCCCUACAGACACAAUUUCUUUUUCCAAAUCUUCACUGCUCAGUUGGUUGAGUCCAUGGAUGUGGAACACAGGAACAUGGAAGGCUAACUGCUGUUGUGUGGUUAUGGAAUCUGUGAGAAUGUACGAGAAAGUCACCCUGUGGUCGCCUCAGGAGACAGGUCUGAGAGCGCCAGUGAUACAGAAGAGAGCACGUCUCAGAGUGCACCUGUGGGGCCGGUACCCAGCUGGCGAC